AAUUAUUUCUGUAUAUUGCUCGUUUCAUAUUUGUUUGUUUCAUAGUAUUUGCUCGUUUCAUAUGAUAACUACCUAGGAAUAAUGAGUGUUAAUGAGUGUUUCAUUUGUGUAUGAAUCCCUCGAGCGGUAAACCGAGGGAAGGUAGCUCAGGGAGGGAGGUCAAGCCGGCAGUCUAUCUGUGGUAUAGCAGCCGCACACACCUUGUUGGAUUUAAACCUGUGGGUUUAUUCCCUGUGAGCGCCAGAGAUUGAGAACGAGGAUGUGAGUACCUGGCUAGCCUUUCACCUCGUGUAUUCGAGAAGGAUGAGGAGCGAAGCAAUGGGGCAGAGAGUCAGCGAGCCAGCGAGUCAGCAGUGGACGCUCUUAAUAUACAGCAGAAAAAACAAGCCUGGGAGGAAAUGUGCUGAAAUGGAGAGUUGUGAGCUGAGGUGGGCCAGACAUCAGCUCACGACAUUGCUGGAGCACGCGGUGUUGCCGCUUCUUCCAUGUGAAGAGCGUAUGGCUUGAGAUACCGGUUUGCGCGCGCAUUUCUCUGCUGUGGCGUGUUUUGUGGCUCCUCGCUGAACACUUCUAUUUCUUGACGCUGUGAGUUGGGCUACUUUGACGGUGACUUGAACACUACCACACUGGGCUGCUGUGUGUGUGAGGAAGGUGUGGUGGAGCUGUGAAGUGUGGCUGAGGUGGUGGAGGGAAGCAAGCUGUGCGUUACCCUACAACCACCACCACCGCCGGCAUGUCAUCUUCGUCUUCUUCCUUCUCUUUAUUCUUUUCCUCCUUUCCCUCCGCUGACGUGUGUGUGGUGUUCCUUGACCGCCGUCAUGAGAAAGAGAAUAUGCAAGGUAGGUACAGCUCCUACUUGCGCAGGCUUUGACGUCAAAAUUUAAUGUAAUCAGUGUGUGUGUGUGUGUGUGUGUGUGUGUGUGUGGAAGAAACGGGAUCAUAACCGAAAACCAUAUGCAUAAUAUGCUAUACUAAUUUAUUAUGUAAGUUCAGUACUCCUCACACAUACUCAACACACAUCUUCAGUACGUACGUAUGUAUAUUCCUCUCAUCAUCAUUGUGAUGUACAGCUUACUGUAUAUUAUGAGAAAGAAUAAAUGAUUGACUGACUGACUACUACUACUACUACCAGUCUAAUAGCACAGGAAUAAAGUAAAACACUACUACUACUAUCAGUCUAAUAGCAUAGUAAUAAAGUAAAACAGUGAAUAAGUGUAAGAAAAGGAAAGUAAUUUUUAAAAUUGAAUGGUGUUUAAGUGAAUUGUUGAUAAGCUUGAUUAAUAAGAAAGGAAUACAUGUGAAGUAAGAAACAAUAAAUUAAGUCAUAGUAAGAGAAAAUAAAGAAACAUUAUGUAAAAAGUGAAGUGAAUGAGUAAAAUGUAUGUAAAAAAAAGUCAAAUCAAAUAAAAAGCCAAAAAUUAAAAUUGAAAAAUACUGUCUACUAAUUGUAGUGAUAAAAAAAAAAAGUACAAAGAUUGAUAAAAAGUAAGUAAGGAUAAAAGUAAGUAAGGAAAGUAAGGAAUGGAAGACAAAUAUGAAAUGAAUAGUAAAAGGAGUUAGAAAGUGAUAGCAAAAGAAGAAAAAAGAUGAUUAGGAAAAAGAGAAGAUCUCCACGACCACCACCACCACCACCACCAUUACCAGCUCGUUCAAGCCUGACCUGCACUAGUUCGCCGGAUCUGCUCCCAGGCCAGUGAGACUUCUAUAAAUAUGCUAAAGCUGCCAGCCGUGAUGCCGAGCAGAUCUCCAACAAGCAGUUCUUCAUGUUCACUCUGUUUUUUCAUCCAGUAAUGAUCAUCAUCCUACAUUCACCCUGUUGGAGAGGGAAGAGGAAGGAAUGGAACAGAGGUGUGACACUCCCCGCCAGCCACGCUCCUUACGCUCCUUUCUGAGUACAGAUGUCAUUGUUAAGGGCAGCUUCCUCCUUCUCCUCCUCCUCCUCCUUUUGAUUUACGUGUUUGGGUUCUUUCCUCGUGGUUAUAAGUGACGCCACUCUUCAGCAUCACACAGUCGUAGAAGAAACUGAUCCUUGGCUUCGAAAAAUUAAAAAGGCACUUGUACCUUGCUAUAACAUUGCACUACAACACUUAAACCAACAAGACUGUAAGAGUGUGACGACUUUCUGAGCGAGGAUCAUCCUUCCUGAUGCCUCGUAGUGCUCCAUCGCGGCCCUCAACCUCCCUCCAGCCCUCACAGCCCCGGAAUCCCGAACGAUCCCUUAAGUCUUAGGUCCAUAUUCUGAAACACUUCUGCCUGCACGUCGACUACUUUCAGAAGGCUUUAGUUGAAGUGAAGCGUGUCUCUAAGGGUAUCUUUAUGGUUCUAGUGACAGAUUAACAAGAAUUUUGCAUUAUUGAAUGGAGAAACACACUUGAGAACCCGACAAAUUGUUUUCAAAAGGGUGUAGUUAAAGUGACGCGGGUUUUUAAAAGAUGUUUUUUAAAGGUUUUGCUGAUAGGUGAACAAAAUAUUCAUGUUAUUAACUCGGGAAACACACUUGAAAACCCGGUAAUUAUUUUCAAGUCAGUAAUUGAAGUGACGCGAUAUUUAAAGAUGUUUUUCAAGGUUUUAGUGGUAGAUGAACAAGAUUUUUACAUUAUUGACAUCGGAAACACUUGAGAACCCUGCUAAUCACCUCUCUUACCUUUGAAAACAGUCACGUUGAGAGAGCAGUAUUUCUGAACACGGGUGAUGGCCCUGGUAGGUACAUCGCGUCUCUUUCUCCCUCCAGCCGUGAAAGCCUUGGGAGUUUGAACGAUCCUCUAAUCGCCUCCUACGGUGAGAUUUAAUCCGGGAGUUUACGAGUUCGCGUGGCCGAUCCUCCCUCCAAUCCCGGUCUUGUCUGUCUUAUGUUGUAAUUAAAGACUCGAAAUUAUGAUGUGGUGUUAAGUGUUUUCGCAGGUAAUAUAUUUAGUGUUUAUUGGAUAGAGGUGUAAGUUGUUAAUAAUGUAAGGUUGUAAAUUAAUGCUGCUUUUUUUUUAUUCAAGUUUUCUUACCUGACUCCUCUCUCUCUCUCUCUCUCUCUCUCUCUCUCUCUCUCUCUCUCUCUCUCUCUCUCUCUCUCUCUCUCUCUCUCUCUCUCUCUCUCUCUCUCUCUCUCUCUCUCUCUCUCUCUGUUUUUCCUUCCUCUCCUAUUAUCUCCCUCUUUUCCUCUCCCUCCCCUCCUCUUCUCUCCUCUUCUCUCUCUCUCUUUGCUUCUACUUUACCCAACCCUCCAAGUUUCUUCUUCCUCUUCCUCCCCUCUUCUUUUCUUCUCCCUUUUCCUCACAUCUUUCCUCUUCCCAUCCAGUUCCCCUCUUUCUCCUCACCCAGCUAUCCAAAUUUCUUCUGUCUCCUGUUUCGCUUUCCUGUUAUUGUUUUUCUCCCUUCUCCUCUCCCUUCCCCUCACGUUCUCUCACUCCCCUCUCACCUUUCCCCCUUCCCUCCUUAUCGCUCUCCUAUCUUCCCUUUUAUCUUCCCCUUCCUCUCUGUUUCUCUUUUCAUCCUAUCUUUUUUUCCCAUUUACUCCUUACUACGUCUCUCUCUCUCUCUCUCUCUCUCUCUCUCUCUCUCUCUCUCUCUCUCUCUCUCUCUCUCUCUCUCUCUCUCUCUCUCUCUCUCUCUCUCGGUCUCUUUUUUUCCUACCUCCCUCUCUUUCUCUGUUUUUUCCCUUCUCUUCUUUCACUCCUUCAUCCCCAUCUUGUAUUGAUCGGUGACACGUGCCAUGCAGUACGUGAAUAGUGAAUGAAAAUGGGGAAGGUACGUGUGUGUGUGUGUGUGUGUGUAUGUUUGUAGGGGGAGGGGUGAGUGUAGUUAUGUAGUUAGUGGUGAUGGUGAUGGUGAUUGGAUAUGAAUAAUGAAGAGUAUUGUAAGAGAUUGUGUGUGUGUGUGUGUGUGUGUGUGUGUGUGUGUGUGUGUGUGUGUGUGUGUGUGAGUGAGCUUGCAACUGAAGAAGGAUUACCAGAGCAUUGC